GACGGAGGAUGCAAGCGUUAUCCGGAAUGAUUGGGCGUAAAGCGUCCGCAGGCGGCAGUUCAAGUCUGCUGUCAAAGACCGGGGCUUAACUUCGGAAAGGCAGUGGAAACUGAACAGCUAGAGUAUGGUAGGGGCAGAGGGAAUUCCUGGUGUAGCGGUGAAAUGCGUAGAGAUCAGGAAGAACAUCGGUGGCGAAGGCGCUCUGCUGGACCAUAACUGACACUGAGGGACGAAAGCGAGGGGAGCGAAUGGG
rnacentral:rRNA from 1 species